rnacentral:lncRNA from 1 species
UUUGGCUAUCUGAAAUCAAUUAUCAAACUACAAAAUACCAAGGCUUACUACUUCCAUCUUGAUUCAACACAUAAUCCAUUCUAUGACUAUCAAUUCAAUAAUACUUCUCUCAAUCACAAUUCUUCAUAAGCAAAUAAUAAAAGCAAAGAAAACAAAGAAGUAGCACCAAGCUUACCUCGGCUUACGACUCUCACAGUCUGGCUCUCUGCUUACGACUCUCACAGUCUAGCUCUUUGCUUACGACUCUCACAGUCUGGCUCUCGAAUUACAAUUCUCAUAGUCUGGCUUUGAUCUCUCUUUUCUCAAUCUAUUUAUCCUACCAAAAAAGAUGAUCCAUCGGCUAGUGGAUUCCAAAGGUUAUGACCC